rnacentral:hammerhead_ribozyme from 1 species
GUACUGGUGAAGAGUCCCAAAUAAGCCAGAACGAAACAGCUGUCCAGUAC